AAAACGGUCCUUUUAAGGACCACAAUUUUCAUAAACAAAGAGCUAU
rfam:Euroglyphus maynei isolate Arlian Lab scaffold30246, whole genome shotgun sequence.